rnacentral:rRNA from 1 species
UACGUAGGGUGCAAGCGUUAAUCGGAAUUACUGGGCGUAAAGCGUGCGCAGGCGGUUUUGUAAGUUUGUCGUGAAAGCCCCGGGCUCAACCUGGGAAUUGCGAUGAAGACUGCAAGGCUAGAAUCUGGCAGAGGGGGGUAGAAUUCCACGUGUGAGCAGUGAAAUGCGUAGAGAGUGUGGAGGAACACCGAUGGCGAAGGCAGCCCCCUGGGUCAAGAUUGACGCUCCAUGCACGAAAGGCGUGGGGAGCAAACAG